GUGUGCCAGUGAGAAACCAUCCAUGGGAAUGGAGGAUGUUGUGUGCAGGGCAAUGUAUUCCUGGCUUGCCAUUUUGCUUCACUGUCACUCAGCUGAACAUGGUCCCUAUCUAAGAAGGACUUUGGAGAAAUGGGUAGGAAUUUUGGCUCUGAGAGGAGCAGAAAGCAUAUUUUCUAGACCACAUUGCCAGCAGAUGCCGUUUGCCUGGCAGAACAGUGAUUGCCACUCAUCUUCCUGGCAAGAAUGUCAAGACCCAUUCAGAGAUCCCAGGUUCAGCUGGCCUUUGGCUUUGUCUGUCUCAUUUCACACAUCCACUUUCAAGGGCCAUUAGAAGAGGCACAUGUCUGCCUUGCUACCCAGAAGUGCUGUAGUUAUUCCCAGAAAAAAAAAAAAAAAAACAAAAACAAAAACUGGGUGUCCUGUGGUGUGGUAGAAAUCCCAUCACAGUUGUGACUCUGUGAGCAAAGACAACCAGUGCUUUUUGGGGCUGUAACAGCUGAGAGUGUGGCAGAGCAGGUUUGAUAUUGUUUUUAGACUCCUGAAAACAUUGUUCCCAAACAAUCUUUCUCUCCUGUCUUCUGUCAUCAACUGUGGAACAGAGGAAAUGGAAGGGAUCAGAGGUUUGUUUAAAUUUGCGCUUAUUUUUAAUUCUUCAAAUAGUGUCAGCUUGAUGCGUGAUACUUUAGAAAUUGGAUGAGUAGCACCUAUUUCAUCCCAGCGAGAGGUGGGAUUGAAGACUUCCAACAACAGAAACACUGGAUGUGCAAGAGCUCAGUUUUCCACCCCUCACACAAGUAACUUGCUGUACUAUUUUCAGCAGCCUCAGCCAGAUCGAUUAAAAUACUGCUCCAAACAACAACAGAAUGAAAAUCUUCCACCAAAUGGGGAAAAGGAAGAAAAGUGGGCCGCAGCCCUUUCUUCAGAGCUUGUGUUGAUUUUGCCAAGUCAGAUGCAAACAAGGUUUGCCAUAUUUCUUUCCUAGAAAAAUGCAGCUCUUGAAUAGAAAUCUAUCUCUGAGGCUGCUAAGUUUGGUCCGAUUUUAGAGCUGGGAGGAGCAAAACAGGUUCCAGAGAAGCCGUGGUUGUGUCACCCUUGGAAGUGUUCAGGGCCAGGUUGGAUGGGGCUUGGAGCAACCUUAUUAGCGGAAGGUGUCCUGAGUCUGGUGAGUCCCUGAAAAGAAACGUUUGGUUUUCCUGAAAUGCUGCCUUUGCAAGGGGAGGUCACAACUACCCCACGUAAUUUGAAAUGCCCUGAGCAGAACCCAACUGUUUUUUCUCACAGGUGAGGAGGGAUUUUCACUUGUAUUUUAUGGAGGAUUUUGACAGGGCAGAGCAAGAGCAGCUGAAUGUGUUUGACAGGCAAAGAGGGCCAGUGUGGCAGCAGCUUAAUUCCAUGGAGCUUUUCCUUCUGUGAUCCUGUACAACCUGAGGCAGCACUCUGGGGCUCUUGAACCUGGCAGCUGGGCAAGUUAAUCAUUGGAACAAGUGAUAAAUUAAGCUGCUCCACUCUCUUGAGCAUGGGUGUGAUGAGCCUUAAGUAAACCUGUGAGCACUUGUCAGGAUGGGAGCUUGUUCUUUGCCAGGGAGGAGGGAGAAAAUAUUGCUUGGAGUAAAUAAAGCAACUCUGCUUCCCCUGGAAGAGGAAAAGAAGGAAUUAAACAUGUGAAUGCUGCAUGGAGUCAUUUGCACAAGGCUAUAUCUCGUCUGCUAGGCAGGAAUGUUCUCAAUAAACCCUGCUUCUCCUGAUCGUUAUUUUUCUGGGUUUCCACCACACGAUACAAGAGACUCUCACCUGAAAAAAACAAAACACCCUGUAGGGAGGCAGUAUUUCCUUUCUUCAGGCGUUCCCUUUUUUUGUUCUCUCCAGAGCUCUCCCUUCAUUUCUGCUGCUGUUUGGAGCAUGUGCUUACCUCUUUGCUGAUCCCCUGGGCUUCUUUUGGCUCUGGGUGUCAUGGACACUAUUAAUGGUGGGUUCUUUCCCCUCCAUCUUCUUCUGUUUCUUCAUGUGGUUUACCUUCAUUUACCUGUUGGAGUGAUGGAUUUUUCUCACCCUUUAUUACUCGGUGCUUUUUCUUCAUUCUCCAAAACCAACUUCUCACUUGCCCUGUGGCUGUUAGGUGCCAGUUAUGGGAGCAUGAAUUCUUUCUCUAGCCCUUGUCUGAGCUUUCUCGGGGAGCUGAGAGCUCUUUGGGGUUCAACUUGACUCACUUCAGCGCCUUCCUUGCUGCUGCCUGUGUCCUUCGACACUUGAAGGGAAUAAAGUCUCAGUGUGGAGAUGACAGCUGUGAAAUGAUGGCUCUUUUGGAGCAGACAAGAAUGCUGUUGUCAGUCUUUUCAAGGAUAAACUGAGCACCUGGUUUUGGGGAGAAACAGGCUCAGCUCAGCACAGAGGUGGCUGUUGCAAGUGCCCAGGUUUGGAGGGAAGGCUGCAGCUCCUGGGGGUGUGUUGGUGUGGGGCUAUAAGGUUUGUGCUGGGUCCCUGGAGCAGUGGGAACACCCCACUGCGAGAGGCACAUCAGGAAAUGGGUGCAGAAAGGGCCUGAAGUGUGACCAGCUAUAGUGAAGGGUUCCAUAGGAAAUCAUAUUUUUACUGAGAUUUUGGACAAUUUGAGGCUCCUUCUCGUGUCCUUUGCCCGAUGAACAUUCCCCCUUUGCAAGAGCUUGGGGAAUCCUGAGCUCACACAAUGAAAAUCCCUGAUCAUGAUAUCUUUUUUCUAUCCUUUGAUGUUGUCAUCCCAGCAGGAGUCAGAGGAAGAGAAUAUGUGUGACCUGCCUGGCUUUAACAAUGUGCCAGGAACAAUGCCAUGGAGAAGCUGGUCAGAGGAGCAUCUGAGAAGUGUGUGCUACAUCAGUGAUGUCCUACUACUGAUCUUUGCACAGAGAUGAAAAAGUAUCAGUUUGCAUGGCCUGAAUGUCUGGCUCUGGACAUUCUGCAUUACACAAGAUGUGCUGAGCUCAUCUGGCUCUGAAAGAUCAUCUCUGCACCUUAGCCAGGAACAGCAUCAGAGUUCUGAACAGAUGCAUCAAAAUCAGUCAUAACCCAGAGGCAAACCUUGGCAAUACACAUGUGUGGCAGGUUUUUCUGUUUGAAAGGAAGCUUGGCACAAUGUCCAUUGUCUUCUCCAUUUGUGAAACACCAAGCGGAGUCUGGGCAGGCUGAUACGGAGAGCAAAACCUGAAAAUAUCACCCUAGUGAUCCUGAGCCUAGGGGAUGCAGCUAAACCCAGCCAAAAGGAAUUUCUGAAAAGCUGAUCCUGGUUUACAUUUUCUUGAGUUUGGCUUUGCCAACUUCACCAGUCAGUUGUGAAAAUGCAAACAAAAAACUCAAACCAAAUCAGACAAAAACCCAAACAAACAAACAAACAAACCCAUGCAGCAAACCAAUCAAACAAAUAGAUAAAAAACCCCAAAUAAAACCAAAGGGAAUGAGGAGUUAAUAUUAGUAGUGAGAAUAGCACAGCAGGCAAAUGGUUGCUUCCCACAGGAUCAUCAUCAGAAGCCACAUAGAACAGCUGCUCCAAAAUAUACCCAAGAGGAGAAAAAGUGAUCCAUGGCAACUUUGGGGGCAGCUCCACAUUCAGGUGAAGGAUGAGCACGCAGUGGUACAGAUCCAGCAUUGCCCACCCUCCAGGCUGCUCUUUGCUCCUGAUGAAAGACCCUUGCAGGACUGUGGCCCCUCUCAGUGCAGUGUCAGUCACUCCCAGAGCUCUCAGCUGAGCCACUGGCAUUUCCAGAGCGACAUCCAGGCACAAUCCUUCUGCCUGCUGAGCACCUGUGGAAGAUCCUGAGCAUCUUCAUGCCUAGCAGCACAAAACAGCUCAGGAUUUCUCUGAACUGCUUUUCAGGAGAGGUUUCCAUAUCCCUGUGAGAUCUGUUCAUCCCCCGACACGUCUGACUUGGUGUACAACGAUGCAUUUGGGUUCCUCCCUUCCUCCUGUGUGCCAGUGAGAAACCAUCCAUGGGAAUGGAGGAUGUUGUGUGCAGGGCAAUGUAUUCCUGGCUUGCCAUUUUGCUUCACUGUCACUCAGCUGAACAUGGUCCCUAUCUAAGAAGGACUUUGGAGAAAUGGGUAGGAAUUUUGGCUCUGAGAGGAGCAGAAAGCAUAUUUUCUAGACCACAUUGCCAGCAGAUGCCGUUUGCCUGGCAGAACAGUGAUUGCCACUCAUCUUCCUGGCAAGAAUGUCAAGACCCAUUCAGAGAUCCCAGGUUCAGCUGGCCUUUGGCUUUGUCUGUCUCAUUUCACACAUCCACUUUCAAGGGCCAUUAGAAGAGGCACAUGUCUGCCUUGUUACCCAGAAGUGCUGUAGUUAUUCCCAGGAAAAAAAAAAAACAACCAAAAAUUGGCGGUCCUGUGGUGUGGUAGAAAUCCCAUCACAGUUGUGACUCUGUGAGCAAAGACAACCAGUGCUUUUUGGGGCUGUAACAGCUGAGAGUGUGGCAGAGCAGGUUUGAUAUCCUUUUUAGAGUCCUGAAAACAUUGUUCCCAAACAAUCUUUCUCUCCUGUCUUCUGUCAUCAACUGUGGAACAGAGGAAAUGGAAGGGAUCAGAGGUUUGUUUAAAUUUGCGCUUAUUUUUAAGUCUUCGAAUAGUGUCAGCUCGAUGCGUGAUACUUUAGAAAUUGGAUGAGUAGCACCUAUUUCAUCCCAGCAGAGGGGUGGGAUUGAAGACUUCCAACAACAGAAACACUGGAUGUGCAAGAGCUCAGUUUUCCACCCCUCACACAAGUAACUUGCUGUACUAUUUUCAGCAUCCUCAGCCAGAUCAAUUAAAAUACUGCUCCAAACAACAACAGAAUGAAAAUCUUCCACCAAAUGGGGAAAAGGAAGAAAAGUGGGCCGCAGCCCUUUCUUCAGAGCUUGUGUUGAUUUUGCCAAGUCAGAUGCAAACAAGGUUUGCCAUAUUUCUUUCCUAGAAAAAUGCAGCUCUUGAAUAGAAAUCUAUCUCUGAGGCUGCUAAGUUGAGUGCGAUUUUAGAGCUGGGAGGAGCAAAACAGGUUCCAGAGAAGCCAUGGUUGUGUCACCUUUGGAAGUGUUCAGGGCCGGGUUGGAUGGGGCUUGGAGCAACCUUAUUAGUGGAAGGUGUCCUGAGUCUGGUGAGUCCCUGAAAAGAAACUUUUGGUUUUCCUGAAAUGCUGCCUUUGCAAGGGGAGGUCACAACUACCCCACGUAAUUUGAAAUGCCCUGAGCAGAACCCAACUGUUUUUUCUCACAGGUGAGGAGGGAUUUUCACUUGUAUUUUAUGGAGGAUUUUGACAGGGCAGAGCAAGAGCAGCUGAAUGGGUUUGACAGGCAAAGAGGGCCAGUGUGGCAGCAGCUUAAUUCCAUGGAGCUUUUCCUUCUGUGAUCCCGUACAACCUGAGGCACUCUGGGGCUCUUGAACCUGGCAGCUGGGCAAGUUAAUCAUUGGAACAAGUGAUAAAUUAAGCUGCUCCACUCUCUUGAGCAUGGGUGUGAUGAGCCUUAAGUAAACCUGUGAGCACUUGUCAGGAUGGGAGCUUGUUCUUUGCCAGGGAGGAGGGAGAAAAUAUUGCUUGGAGUAAAUAAAGCAACUCUGCUUCCCCUGGAAGAGGAAAAGAAGGAAUUAAA